AGGGCAGGAUGAGUGGUUACCCUGUCUUUUUAAAGCUUUGCUAACAGGUAAUAAGUGCUAUUUGAUAUAAACCAUAAGACUUUAGAAUAGACAGGGAGGAAAGUCCGAGCUCAAAAGGGCAAGGCGGUCGUUAAUUGCGACUGGGGUUAACCCAAGGAAAGUGCCACAGAAAGGGAAACCGUCCCAGCUUAAGUUGGGACAAGGGUGAAAAGGUGAGGUAAGAGCUCACCAGUUGAGAUGGCAACAUCUCAAGCUUGGUAAACCCCGCCUUGAGCAAGGUCGAAUAGGUUCCGUUUUGAGAAGUGCCCCUUCGAAUUCCCUGACUAAUUAAGGGGAAGACGGAACGGGUUAUGACCGCAUGAGUCUAAUGGAAACAUUAGACCUUAGAUGAAUGACCACUUUUAACAGAACUCGGCUUACAUCCUGCUCUGAAA
rnacentral:RNase_P_RNA from 1 species